CCGGGUCGAUCACCACAACCCUGGGCGGGGACGGGGGAACCAGGUACGUCGCCGUCCCCCACGGCUAGGGGUGAAGUCGCCCGCACCGGCUCCGACCGGCGUACGGCGGCCGGGCCUCCCUCCGGGUCCGAACCCGACAGCUCACCUCGCAGGCGUGCGGAGAGGAUCG
rnacentral:sRNA from 1 species